rnacentral:rRNA from 1 species
GACAGAGGGUGCAAACGUUGUUCGGAAUUACUGGGCGUAAAGCGCACGUAGGCGGCUUUGUAAGUUAGAGGUGAAAGCCCGGGGCUCAACCCCGGAAUUGCCUUUAAGACUGCAUCGCUAGAAUUGUGGAGAGGUGAGUGGAAUUCCGAGUGUAGAGGUGAAAUUCGUAGAUAUUCGGAAGAACACCAGUGGCGAAGGCGACUCACUGGACACAUAUUGACGCUGAGGUGCGAAAGCGUGGGGAGCAAACAGG